GCCGGUAAAAAGACCGGAGGAAGGUGAGGAUGAUGUCAAGUCAGCAUGACCUUUAUAUCCAGGGCUACACACACGCUACAAUGGUCUGUACAAUGGGUAGCCAAGCCGCGAGGCGGAGCCAAUCCUGAAAGCAGGCCUCAGUUCAGAUUGCAGUCUGCAACUCGACUGCAUGAAGCCGGAGUUGCUAGUAACCGCAGGUCAGCAAUACUGCGGUGAAUACGUUCCCGGGUCUU
rnacentral:rRNA from 1 species